GACCGGGAUGGACUAACCGCUGGUGGAUCUGUUGUACUACCAAGUGCAUGGCAGAGUAGCCAAGUUAGGAAGGGAUAAACGCUGAAGGCAUCUAAGCGUGAAGCCCCCCUUAAGAUGAGAUUUCCCAUAGCGUAAGCUAGUAAGACCCCUUGAAGACAACAAGGUUGAUAGGUUAGAGGUGGAAGCAUGGUAACAUGUGGAGCUGACUGAUACUAAUAGGUCGAGGGCUUGACCUU
rnacentral:rRNA from 1 species